rnacentral:rRNA from 1 species
UAGAGUUUGAUCCUGGCUCAGGAUGAACGCUGGCGGCGUGCCUUAGGCAUGCAAGUCGAACGGUUUCCGCAAGGAAGCAGUGGCAGACGGGUGAGUAAUGCGUAGGAAUCUACCCCUGGGUGGACCAUAGCUCAUCGAAAGAUGGGGUAAUAGUCCAUGGUCUCGCAAGAGUAAAGGUCUUAACUGACCGCCGAGGGAGGAGCCUACGUCCUAUCAGCUAGUUGGUGGGGUAAAAGCCUACCAAGGCGAUGACGGGUAGCUGGACUGAGAGGUCGAACAGCCACAACUGCACUGAGACACGGGCAGUACACCUACGGGUGGCAGCAACCAGGAACAUUGCGCAAUGGACGAAAGUCUGACGCAGCGACGCCGCGUGGAGGAAGAAGGCCUUCGGGUUGUAAACUCCUUUUGCCAGGCCAUUCACGGCUUGGCGAAUAAGCCUCUACUAACUACGUGCCAGAAGUCUCGGUAAUGCGUAGGAGGCAAGCGUUAUCCGGGUUCAUUGGGCGUAAAGUGUGCGUAGGCGGUCUAAAAAGUCUCAAUUUAAAUACUGUGGCUUAACCAUAGGACCGAUUGAGAUACUCUUAGACUUGAGGAUUGACAGGGGUGCUAGAACAGCUAGUGUAGCAGUGAAAUGCGUUGAUAUUAGCUGGAAUACCGAUGGCGAAGGCAGGCACCUGGGUUAUUCCUGACGCUGAGGCACGAAAGCUAGGGGAGCGAAACAGAUUAGAGACCUGUGUAGUCCUAGCUGUAAACGAUGUCUGCUAGCUCUCUCUGUAUUGCAGAGGGGGUGCAAGCUAACGCGUUAAGCAGACCGCCUGGGGAGUACGGCCGCAAGGCUAAAACUCAAAGGAAUUGACGGGGACCCGCACAACCGGUGGAGCGUGUGGUUCAAUUCGAGACAAAACGAAAAACCUCACCAAGGUUUGACAUGCAAUCGUUUAUUCUCCAAGAAACUGGAGGAAAUCCGCAAGGAUGAUUGCACAGGUGCUGCAUGGCUGUCGUCAGCUCGUGCCGUGAGGUGUUCCAUUAAGUUGGGAAACGAGCGCAACCCCUAUCCAAUGUUAAAUAUUCAUUGGAAACAGGUCGCCUAUUUUGGCGACAGGAAGGAGGGGAAGACGUCAAGUCAGCACGGCCCUUAUACCUUGGGCUACACACACACUACAAUGGCGAAAAACAACGAGCCUGCAAGCUAGUAAUGGCAAGCUAAUCUCUGAAAUUUCGCCUCAGUUCAGAUUGAGGGCUGAAACUCGCCCUCAUGAAGUCGGAAUCGGUAGUAAUCGCAAAUCAGCAUGUUGCGGUGAAUACGUUCUCGGGUCUUGUACACACCGCCCGUCAAGGCAGCAAAGUCGGUAGCUAUUGAAGU